GGUUAAGCGACUAAGCGUACACGGUGGAUGCCCUGGCAGUCAGAGGCGAUGAAGGACGUGCUAAUCUGCGAAAAGCGUCGGUAAGGUGAUAUGAACCGUUAUAACCGGCGAUGUCCGAAUGGGGAAACCCAGUGCAAUUCGUUGCACUAUCGUUAACUGAAUACAUAGGUUAACGAGGCGAACCGGGGGAACUGAAACAUCUAAGUACCCCGAGGAAAAGAAAUCAACCGAGAUUCCCCCAGUAGCGGCGAGCGAACGGGGAGCAGCCCAGAGUCUGAAUCAGCUUGUGUGUUAGUGGAACGGUCUGGAAAGUCCGACGGUACAGGGUGAUAGUCCCGUACACCAAAAUGCACAGGCUGUGAACUCGAAGAGUAGGGCGGGACACGUGGUAUCCUGUCUGAAUAUGGGGGGACCAUCCUCCAAGGCUAAAUACUCCUGACUGACCGAUAGUGAACCAGUACCGUGAGGGAAAGGCGAAAAGAACCCCGGCGAGGGGAGUGAAAAAGAACCUGAAACCGUGUACGUACAAGCAGUGGGAGCACCUUCGGGUGUGACUGCGUACCUUUUGUAUAAUGGGUCAGCGACUUAUAUUCUGUAGCAAGGUUAACCGUAUAGGGGAGCCGCAGGGAAACCGAGUCUUAACUGGGCGUUAAGUUGCAGGGUAUAGACCCGAAACCCGGUGAUCUAGCCAUGGGCAGGUUGAAGGUUGGGUAACACUAACUGGAGGACCGAACCGACUAAUGUUGAAAAAUUAGCGGAUGACUUGUGGCUGGGGGUGAAAGGCCAAUCAAACCGGGAGAUAGCUGGUUCUCCCCGAAAGCUAUUUAGGUAGCGCCUCGUGAACUCAUCUUCGGGGGUAGAGCACUGUUUCGGCUAGGGGGUCAUCCCGACUUACCAACCCGAUGCAAACUACGAAUACCGAAGAAUGUUAUCACGGGAGACACACGGCGGGUGCUAACGUCCGUCGUGAAGAGGGAAACAACCCAGACCGCCAGCUAAGGUCCCAAAGUCAUGGUUAAGUGGGAAACGAUGUGGGAAGGCACAGACAGCCAGGAUGUUGGCUUAGAAGCAGCCAUCAUUUAAAGAAAGCGUAAUAGCUCACUGGUCGAGUCGGCCUGCGCGGAAGAUGUAACGGGGCUAAACCAUGCACCGAAGCUGCGGCAGCGACACGAUGUGUUGUUGGGUAGGGGAGCGUUCUGUAAGCCUGCGAAGGUGACCUGUGAGGGUUGCUGGAGGUAUCAGAAGUGCGAAUGCUGACAUAAGUAACGAUAAAGCGGGUGAAAAGCCCGCUCGCCGGAAGACCAAGGGUUCCUGUCCAACGUUAAUCGGGGCAGGGUGAGUCGACCCCUAAGGCGAGGCCGAAAGGCGUAGUCGAUGGGAAACAGGUUAAUAUUCCUGUACUUGGUGUUACUGCGAAGGGGGGACGGAGAAGGCUAUGUUAGCCGGGCGACGGUUGUCCCGGUUUAAGCAUGUAGGCUGAUUAUCCAGGCAAAUCCGGAUAAUCAAGGCUGAGGUGUGAUGACGAGGCACUACGGUGCUGAAGUAACAAAUGCCCUGCUUCCAGGAAAAGCCUCUAAGCAUCAGGUAACAUCAAAUCGUACCCCAAACCGACACAGGUGGUCAGGUAGAGAAUACCAAGGCGCUUGAGAGAACUCGGGUGAAGGAACUAGGCAAAAUGGUGCCGUAACUUCGGGAGAAGGCACGCUGGUGUGUAGGUGAAGUCCCUGCGGAUGGAGCUGAGACCAGUCGAAGAUACCAGCUGGCUGCAACUGUUUAUUAAAAACACAGCACUGUGCAAACACGAAAGUGGACGUAUACGGUGUGACGCCUGCCCGGUGCCGGAAGGUUAAUUGAUGGGGUUAUCCGUAAGGAGAAGCUCUUGAUCGAAGCCCCGGUAAACGGCGGCCGUAACUAUAACGGUCCUAAGGUAGCGAAAUUCCUUGUCGGGUAAGUUCCGACCUGCACGAAUGGCGUAAUGAUGGCCAGGCUGUCUCCACCCGAGACUCAGUGAAAUUGAACUCGCUGUGAAGAUGCAGUGUACCCGCGGCAAGACGGAAAGACCCCGUGAACCUUUACUAUAGCUUGACACUGAACAUUGAGCCUUGAUGUGUAGGAUAGGUGGGAGGCUUUGAAGCGUGGACGCCAGUCUGCGUGGAGCCAACCUUGAAAUACCACCCUUUAAUGUUUGAUGUUCUAACGUUGGCCCCUUAUCGGGGUUGCGGACAGUGUCUGGUGGGUAGUUUGACUGGGGCGGUCUCCUCCCAAAGCGUAACGGAGGAGCACGAAGGUUAGCUAAUCCUGGUCGGACAUCAGGAGGUUAGUGCAAUGGCAUAAGCUAGCUUGACUGCGAGCGUGACGGCGCGAGCAGGUGCGAAAGCAGGUCAUAGUGAUCCGGUGGUUCUGAAUGGAAGGGCCAUCGCUCAACGGAUAAAAGGUACUCCGGGGAUAACAGGCUGAUACCGCCCAAGAGUUCAUAUCGACGGCGGUGUUUGGCACCUCGAUGUCGGCUCAUCACAUCCUGGGGCUGAAGUAGGUCCCAAGGGUAUGGCUGUUCGCCAUUUAAAGUGGUACGCGAGCUGGGUUUAGAACGUCGUGAGACAGUUCGGUCCCUAUCUGCCGUGGGCGCUGGAGAAUUGAGGGGGGCUGCUCCUAGUACGAGAGGACCGGAGUGGACGCAUCACUGGUGUUCGGGUUGUCAUGCCAAUGGCACUGCCCGGUAGCUAAAUGCGGAAGAGAUAAGUGCUGAAAGCAUCUAAGCACGAAACUUGCCCCGAGAUGAGUUCUCCCUGAGACUUUAAGUCUCCUGAAGGAACGUUGAAGACGACGACGUUGAUAGGCCGGGUGUGUAAGCGCAGCGAUGCGUUGAGCUAACCGGUACUAAUGAACCGUGAGGCUUAACCUU
rnacentral:rRNA from 1 species